UUGUACUUCAACGUCAACUUCAACAAACUGGAAUGAUACAGAAAAGAUUAGUAUGGCCCAUGCACAAGGAUGACAGACAAAUUUGUGAAGUGUUCCAUAUUUUU